GCCGACUUAGCUCAGUAGGUAGAGCAACUGACUUGUAAUCAGUAUGUCCUAUCCUGUUUCUGGCACUA
rnacentral:tRNA from 1 species